AGUGUAGGCGGCUACCUAAGUCGGAUGUGAAAUCCCCGGGCUCAACCUGGGAAUUGCAUUCGAUACUGGGUAGCUAGAAUUUGGUAGAGGUAAGUGGAAUUCCGGGUGUAGCGGUGAAAUGCGUAGAUAUCCGGAGGAACAUCAGUGGCGAAGGCGGCUUACUGGACCAAAAUUGACGCUGAGGCUCGAAAGCGUGGGGAGCAAACAGGAUUAGAUACCCUGGUAGUCC
rnacentral:rRNA from 1 species